UUUGUAGCUUUCAUAUUGAUCCUUUCGCUCUUGGACCGUCUUGGACUUAACAGUGGGAAUAUUUGCUGUAAUAAAAUGAAUCUUAUUUACACGAAAACUUUGUUGUUGUUGAUGUCGUAUGCGGCGGCCGGAACGGAAGUAAGCCAGAAUGAUCUAAACGAAGUAUUAGACCAGGCUGGCGGAGUGGAAAUAAAUAAAUCUUGCGAACUUCACGACAACAUGGCCGGCUCUGACUACAAAUCAUUGGAACUGCGUACUCGAAGUCUGGUGGAUCCACAGUCGAAAACUGAAGGUGCUAGUUCUACUGUACUGGAAUAUUUAAAGAAUUUAACUACUCGGUUCUGUGUCAAUACACAAAAGCUGUCAAAAGAAGAUUUGGAAAAAUUACAAAAUGAGUUAGGCCUCAAGAGAAAAAUCAAGGUGCACUUUAGCAGCCUUUCAACAGGUACCAAACCUGUGCAAAAUGCUUACUACUAUUUUAACUUAAUCACCACAUUACUUGAAAAGGAUGAAACAGUUUAGUAAGCAUAUUGGCUUCAGCCGACAGGUUGUCAAUGAUGCAAUUACAGCAAAGCUGACCAGGGUAGUGCAAAGUGCACAAAAUGCACUUGUGCACCAAAUGCGAAGUGCAUUUUGUCAUGCGUUUAAAGGAGAUGAUCAAAUGUGUGCAAGCAUUGACCUGCAUUUUUAUCAUGGUUUUUAUCCGAAAGAUUAUCGUACCUGCACUGGCCAGAGAUCUUUCGAUAACCCUUCCCCAAGAAGCUGAAAGGCCAAAUUCUGACGAUGAUGCAGACAACCAGGAAAUCGCUGAGGAUAACGCGGAGGGUUAAACUUGACUAAUUGUGUGUGUUAAGUAUAUAAUUAACAGGUGCGUUAUAUAAAGAUUUAGAUAAAUUAUCAACCUUUCUACUUAAAUAGUAAAGACUCCAACUGCUGUUAAUUUGAUUAUCUACUGCUGUGGUUUUUUACAGUUUUGAUAGAUUUAGUUUGAAUUAACUGCAAUGCAUAAUUAUUUGUUUUAUUGAACUGUAGUGUAGGACAUUUUUACCUAAGUAUUGUCAUACUUCAUCAAAUUGGUCAAAAAUAACCCAGCCCUUAAGCUACAAGAUUUUGGCUUAAAUUCUAAAUAAUGACAUUGUUGGAAAUUUUGCUACCAGUGUCACACCAUAGAGUUCAACAAAUAACACUCUUCUUGGUAAUUAAUGUUAUAGAAUGAAAAUUUCAAUCCAAUUCAAUAAAUAAUGGAAUCAUUUUCAAAUCAGACACACAAGGUAACAUACAUACAAGGUUUUUAUUUAGGGUCAGUGCAGCAGUCUGUGGAGCAAAAUUUUACUUUCCACCACAGAAUUCUCCAAAAAUAAAACCUGUAUAAUUCUAUACAUUAACACAUAAAGCAGAAGUUUAUUGUGUACUUAUUAUAGUUAUGUAUAAACCAUCACUUUUAAGGGCAGUAAUUAAUUAAUCAUGAAUAUUUAAUACUCAAUAUUUUUAAGUAAUUACUCCUUCUAUAAGUACAGAAGUUACUUGAUGAUGUAAGUGAAAUAUUAACUAUAUCGAAAAGAUAUCUUUUUCUUGCAGAAAUUAAAGGUUGUGUUAAUAUAAAUUGCAAACUAUAUAUUGUUUAAUAUUUCUUGCGAAAACGCUCGCCGUGUCAUGGCCGGACUCGAGACGUCGCGUCAUAGGCAAAUUAAGCUUUUAAGGUCCAUAUUACUUGUCUAAGUUUAAGAUUUUGGUAUUGAUAACACAAAACUAAGCAACUGAUAGUUUGUCAUUAUAAAAUACUUGAUAAAAGCUAUGGUGCGAUUUUCGAAUUUUAAGCAGUAGAAAAUUAUGAUUAUAUAUAUUUGACGACAUUCGGCGGCAAUGACUGGCAUGGCGAUUGUUUGAUUUUGUAUUUUUAUUUAUUAAAAAUAAAUACCAAUCUCACUUGCAAAAUAAAUAAA